UCGAGACCCGAACGAACGGACGAUCGCGAACGUGUUACACCAUACUUACUUACCUACGACUCCGUUCCGCCCCGUCGCUCCUCGCGGCGUGGCGAGAUUCUGGAGGAAACGAAACCCCGGCGCAGUGGGCGCCAAGGAACACUUCUUGGAAGCGCCGUCGCGGCCCUCUCCACCUCCCUUCUUGCGAUGCGAGGAGGAGGGACGCGGGCGUGGAUAUACAUAUCGUAUUCUGUACGACUCUCGGCAACGGAUAUCUAGGCUCUCGCAUCGAUGAAGAACGUAGCGAAAUGCGAUACUUGGUGUGAAUUGCAGAAUCCCGUGAACCAUCGAGUCUUUGAACGCAAGUUGCGCCCGAGGCCAUCCGGUCGAGGGCACGCCUGCCUGGGCGUCACGCCUCCCGUCGCUCCCCACAGCCGUGCGGAUGCGGAGAUUGGCCCGCCGUGCUCCGUGCGCGGCGGGUCGAAGUGCCGGCCGUCGUCGGGCCUGGCGCGGCGAAUGGUGGACGAAUACAUCGUUGUUUGUGCCUACUCUCCGUGUCCUUGCCCUCAACAAUGCGACAUGUCGUCGUCGGACCCCUCACCAUGGACCCUUCCGGCUUCCGAAUAAGAAGAAGGAACCGUCCUCGGAACG
rnacentral:misc_RNA from 1 species